rnacentral:lncRNA from 1 species
UGCGCGCUUGGGAACACACUAUAGCCUCUGGCUCUAUAACUAUUAAACAUUUUCUUUUUUCCUCUCUCCAGAAUCAAUAGAAAAAAGAAUUCCUCUGCAGCUUACCGCUUACCUAUCUUUCUCCAAAACCCUCUCCCUGGCUCCCACAACUGCCGCAAAAAGAACAAGAGCAUCUGUACUAUCUUUCGCAAAUUCCGAAAGAGGAUUAUCGGCUUGCUUCCCUCGAUGAACGACUAGACUGGACUUGUUCUUGCCCGGGAGCAACUACGAACUGAACUCGAUACUCAAGCUGUUCAGGCUACUCAAGACUCAUCGCUAUCCUCACGAGAAACAAAACGGAAGACCUAAAGACUCAAGACUUGCCCGGCUUCCCUUGCUCCCUAGCUCUGCUCCUUGCUCAUUCUUUUGCUACUUAUCUCUUCCUUGCCUGACGAGAAGAUGCUAAACACGGUUCGAUAUACUCCUCGAGAGCCUGCUCGAACCAAUCCCUUCCUUCGAGGUCAGGAUUGAACUUCAUUUCAAUCGUACCUCUCUCCGUCUUGCUUGGAGAUU